rnacentral:lncRNA from 1 species
UCGUUUUAUAGGCAAUUUACUUUUAUAUCUUAAUAAUUAUGAAUAUUUGAAAUCAAAAUGAGAGGAUCUUAGGGUUUUAGCGAUAGACAAUGCGCGCCCUUCCCAGGCAGCGAUCGCCAGCUCCAUCGAUGCAAGAGGUAGGCGAAGGUGAGCGUGACACGGGGAUUCGACGCAGCGGCGCCGCCCUCGAAGUCAUUCCCCAGCACGCUGUGGUCGCUGCCCAGUAAUCGCUCGGGGAGAGAGCUCGGGGUCGCUCCAGACGCUUGGGUCAUGAUGGAUUGCCCAGACGUUAACGAGGACUGUGGUGUGAUGCAAGGCAGGUCUUUUAGAUCCCACUCCUCCAGGGAGCGAUCUCUUCCCACGACUCUGUCCAGCUCCUCGUGAGCUCUCUCCUGGAUUCUGGGGUUUAGUAUCAGCUCCGAGACGGCCCAUUCGAUCGUCGCCCUGGAAGUUACGGACGACCAGUCGGCGUGCCCACCCGUGUCCGCAAGCUUACGUGAGAAAGAACAGAACAAGGUAAGCUUUUUCUUUCUACCUGGAGCAGCGGUUGUCGCUGAGCUUGUUUUCUCCUCCCAGAGUCCGCAUCACGUCGACAGAGUCCCGGGGAUUUCCUGGAUCGAAGCCUUCCGCGUGCUCCUCGAUGACUGCUUUGAGAAAGCGAGCUCUUGCCGGUAAGACCUCAUUCUUGAGACGAUUUUGCGUCCUGAGCGUGUCCAGCCACCGCAGCGCAGGGAUGUAAUCAUCCGCAAACAGCCAUCUGGAUUCUUUCGCUACGAUCCGACUCCUUCUAGUCCUCGGCCUCGGGAGUGAGCGGCUCGUCGGUACCCUCCCGAACAACACGGUUCGUGAAGUACUCGUGCAGCAUGGAGCUGAGAUCAACUCGACGAUCGAUCCAAACGCUCCCAGCUCCAAGUGGCUGACUUUGGAGGCCGUGAAGAGCUCCGCGGCGCUCACUCGCCAUCGCUCGCGGCGCAAAGAUGAGGUCCUGGAAGUUGUGGCUGAGGAGGCGAGGCACGAAGGAGUAGUGGGGCCUUCUCGCAAACUCUGCGUCGUGCUCCUUGAGGACUUGCCUCGCCAUCUCCGGGACAAGGUGAGGCCGGAGAGCUAUUCUUUCGAGCCAUCUCGGCCAGGGAGCGGUGACGGUAAGCGCCGAGCGAGAGAGAAGAGAGAGCCGACGACGGGCCAUGAGAAAGGACCUGAAGAGCAGUGCACUGAUCUUGCUCUGUGGCUUUCAUCCCUUAGCUCGCAAGAUAAGGCGUAUUUUCGAAAUUUUUACUCCCAACGAGAGAAGCCGUAUCACGAAAGUACUUUACCUUGUAGAGAAGAAGUUACCAAAAGAGAAAGCCCUCUUUAAAGAUAGAAAUUGGAAAGGCCGCGAUCAAAGAAUUGUCCAUCUUAGAGCUUGAGAAUUU